rnacentral:ncRNA from 1 species
UCGCCCACAAUCUCUUCAACGGUCUCAACACGGAUGUGAUCGGGUGCAGCGUUGGUGAACUACAACGUCUAGUUGCACUCAUCGGUCGGCCUGGUGCCGAAUCCCGCCUACAGGGACAUGUUUGUUGCGGUCGUUGGCCGAUGAAAAUUGUAUCGGCCUUGUCCCACCCUUGGUCUCCUCGCGCUAACCCCGUAGCGUGUGGUUUUUAGCGGGCUCCAGGCCCGCUUUUUUUU